UCUCUGUUAGUAUAUCGGUUAGUACACGCGCCUGUCAUUACCCUGGCCGCGCGAAAGCGGGGUUCGACUCCCCGACAGAGAG
rnacentral:tRNA from 1 species